rnacentral:lncRNA from 1 species
AAACAUAACACCACACCAGUAUCAACGGUAACAGCAAACCUAUCCACUCUCUCCUUCUCUAGUGGCCCCAGAGCCCUCAGAUAAGGUCACUAAACCACCGUCCACCACCACUGGAAGGAUAGGAAUAGGAUCCUCUGGAUUCUGCUAUCUACACCACUCAUUUCCCUUCUCAGGAUAAUAUUAUCUACAGCAACAUAGUUGCAGGGUGAGCAAAAAUAUUUCCAAAUACUGUACAGUCCCUCUUUCCCCAGGAUGUUUACUGUGUCGACUGAUGCCAAGACGUUUCACAUUAAGGUCUUUUUGAAAGGGGUCUAUUCCUGGCUGAAUUAUCUGGCCCUCUCCAGCCCACAGAACACAAGAAAAAGAGACUUGAGAAGAUGUUGUGAAGAACUUUUGCAGUAACACCACUGGACCAACAAGAAAAGAUACACCGAGGUUUAGGAGGAGAAUGACAGAAGCUCACACCCUAAAAUGAACCUCUUGAAAUCCACACAGGAAUGUAGAUGUGCAUCAGCAUAUGCACACAUGUGCAAAGAAAUCCACACCUACAUAUAGACCCCAAGGACUGUAAUUAACUGGGUUUUUUUUAAUGGGGGAGUGAAUAAAGAAAACAAAAUCUGAGAACA